CGGUCCGGGGCGCCUGGGCGGGAUGCCCUGCCCUGCUCGGGGGCUGGAGCUAGGCUCCCUGCGGCCCCAGCGAGCCCCUUUCCCUCUGGGUUUGCAGCCAGGCAGAGCUCAGGGCGGUGUGCGGGACGGGGUCGCUGAUCUUCCCCGGGCUGCGGAUUACGCCUGAGACGUUAAGAGUGAUUUGUAAAAAUUUCUGUAACUUGUGAAUUUCGUCUGCUUAACUUUCAAAUAAUACGUUUCAGACAAAAAAAAAAAAAAAGUUCCACACCCACUCAUCUCUUUAAGGCAGAGCAUGAAAGCGCUGAGCGGCUAGGAUUUUGAAGUCUGGGAUGAAGGGCGAGUGGGAGGCAGCGGGAGAGGCAGAUUCUCAGGCGACCCAAACAGAAGCCGGUCGGGAUCGGGCCUCAGGCGCUCGCAGGGACUGAGCUCCAGGGGCCCGCUUGACCUUGCUGAGCCUUGACUUCCCCGUGGUUUAAACAGCGGCACUGCACCUCCUGGAGAUGCCAGGCGCUCGCCCGGCGCACACUGGUUAGGCGUUCACUAUGCUAAUUUCCUUCCUUUUCCUCCCUCACUGUUUGGGGAGGAGAUCAAAUUAGGUCAGAACUGGAGGCGAUCAGGGAGAAGGAAGGCUUGUUUAACCUCCUGUCUUCUCACCAGAGGAGGCAGAGCUCGGGACUUGGCUCUGGCUGGGAGGGUUCUUCAGUGAACCGGCCAGGCAGGGCAGAUGUCUGGAGCCAGAGCUUCGGGCCAAGCAUGGGAGAAGCAAGACGGAGCCAAAUCCACGCUCACCCGGAAAGUUGGGGCUGAGCAUUAGGAGGCACGUCCUAAGUGGAACGAUGAUGAGAAAGGAUCGAACACAUGCUUAACACCAAGGACAGGGUACCACGUGUGGGUCUCUUACUGUUCAGUGAGUUCCAAUGAUGUUAUGGGUUUCACAUAUAGAUUUACUUGUCCUGAUAUCUUAAUAAAGUGGGGACGGUUAUCCUUUUAUAUGUAAGGAAACUGAUGUAUACAGGCAUUAGUAUUUGCAAGAAUGCAAAUCUAGUCAACGGUGAAGCUAAACUCCAAGUCCAUGUGGUUCGUGUCCAGUCUGCGUUUCAGUCACUGCCCUGGACUCCUGCUUGUGCACUUGCUGUGUGUCAUACCACCUUGUGGAAUGUAGUGUUCCAAAGGUUGAAUCGCUCCUUCUUGUAGGACUAAUCAGGAAAAAAGAAAACCAAUGCCACAGGAGUUUGGCAUAGGAACAUGCUCACCCUGCAGACUCCAACACAAGAGUCACAGCGGUGUGCCAGUUCUUCUAGUGCUUCUCACCUCGGAACAGGCUCUGCUCUGCCCUGAAUUCUGGUGUUAAAGAUGGACUCUCUGAACAGUUUGUUGUCAGUUAGCACAAUACAGUGGUGCCUCAGUUCACGAACUUAAUUUGUUUUACUAUUUGGGGGAAUUUGUGUAGAGAAGAUGGCUCUAGUCAUGGUUGUCAGUGGAUGUGGAGUUUGCAAACAGAAGCAUUAGUGAAGGUAUUGCUAUAUUUGGCUUCAUCAGUAGAAGGUACAGCCCAGGGUGUGUGACUCUUAACACGUUUCUUGGCCAACAGGUGGGCAUGGCGUGAUAUACUCUCUCCAGUGAGGGUGACUCCGAUCUGGAGUGCACAGCGCAAGGGGAGUCUUUCUAAGUUCAAUGCUUCCCCACACCCUGGAAGUAGCAGUUGCCCCCUGUACUCACCACUCCUGUGUGCCCUGGUGGUCUCUUUCUCUCUUUUAAUAGUCAGUACUCUUCUACAGCUUAGUAAUUCUUUAUAUUAACCUUUCCUCUUUUCCAGUUAUGUGUGUUUCAGGUAUCCUGAUUGGAACUCAAGUGAUAGAAGGUGAAAGGGAGCCCUCGGAAAUGGAGACCCUGCCUUUAGCUGUGCGACUUGGCCCCAGGCACACUUAACUUCUCAGAGCUUGUCCCUCCGCGUGUGGACAGAGGGUGACCCUAUACAUGACAGGCUUGUUGACGUUCCGUAUAAAAAUGUGAAUGAACUUGAAAACUAUACAGUGCUCUUGGAAUCGAAUACAGUGAUUAGCAGUAGAGGAGUGAAGGUACCAGACAAGAAGAUGGGCCUAUUUUCUUUAAGAAAAAACUUUGCAUGCAUUCUAGAGACUUUAGAUUAACUUGCCACGUUUAUUAGCAUCAAAUGAAUAUAUUAUUUGUUGGUUGGCUUUGAUUCUUCAAAGAUGAAAAAAAUGCUUAUGAGUCUCAAGUUCCUGGCUCUAUAAAAUAUAUGACUGAAAUUACAAGUGUUUUGAAAUGUCAGAUUCAGACUAAUUUGGUUACUUUCUUUUCUGGCAUACCUCACAUUUCCUCUUUCUCGUUUGUCUUCUUUACCCUUCUUGGAUUUCAUGCUUGUGUCAAGAACGAAUUAUUUCUUCACUUAGCACUCUAGGUGCAGAUCAUGAUGCUAGAUACUGCAUGCUCUUCCAAAAGAAAAAUAGUUUUGGAAUCUGAAAAGGCAAAGAAAGAAAGGUAUGUGUGCGUUCCAUUUUAGUGGAGUUCCGGGAGGUGCCAGCUCCACCCUGACUCCCCUGGACCCCUUUGAUUGAGUCUGCGUGUCUCUCCCCCAGCUUCUGUUUUCCCAUCUUCUAGCAGUCUGCACCUGACUCUUUGGACACUGUCCCAAGGCUCAUGGACUCAGUGUGCCUGCAGCAGAGAGAUCUAGAAACAACCACCUCCCACACACAGCUGAGGAAGGGUGAGCCAUCUGUGACCAUGGUACAACAAGCAUGAAGAUAAAAGCUUGCGUGGAAUGAUGAAGCAGGAAGGUGGAAGUGGCCUAGACUGCCUAUCUUCAAAUGUCACAUUAAUAAAAUAAAUGGCUAUCAUAAUGUUAAACUGCAGAAAUGAACUUCCGUUUCACGCAUGUAAAUGCAUCACAAUUCAUGCAAUAUCCGUUAAAUUGGUAAAUACAUCUGUUUUAAAGGAUUAACCCAAAGGAAUCAUGGAGAGCUAGCACAUCCAUCAAAUCUCAG
rnacentral:lncRNA from 1 species